AUAUUAUACAGGAUGUAAUGAGAAUGCUAGCAAAAAGAAGACAGGUGAUACCACAAAAUAUUAAGAACUAGAUGUUGCCAGUGACUUCGUCCGCGUGGAUUUAGGUUUUUUAAAUCCAAUGGGAACUCUUAAAUUUCCGGGGA